UGAACGUAGCGGCAGGCNUAAUACAUGCAAGUUGGAAGAGAAAGUGGCGCACGGGUGCGUAACGCGUAUGCAACCUACCUUUAUCAKGGGGAUAGCCCGGAGAAAUCCGGAUUAACACCGCAUAAAAACACAGGAUAGCAUUAUCCAAUGUUCAAAUAUUUAUAGGAUAAAGAUGGGCAUGCGUGUCAUUAGCUAGUUGGCGGGGUAACGGCCCACCAAGGCGACGAUGACUAGGGGAUCUGAGAGGAUUACCCCCCACACUGGUACUGAGACACGGACCAGACUCCUACGGGAGGCAGCAGUAAGGAAUAUUGGUCAAUGGAGGCAACUCUGAACCAGCCAUGCCGCGUGCAGGAAGACUGCCCUAUGGGUUGUAAACUGCUUUUAUCCGGGAAUAAACCUCUUUACGAGUAGAGAGCUGAAUGUACCGGAAGAAUAAGU
rnacentral:rRNA from 1 species